rnacentral:rRNA from 1 species
UAGGGAAUCUUCCGCAAUGGACGCAAGUCUGACGGAGCAACGCCGCGUGAGUGAAGAAGGAUUUCGGUUCGUAAAACUCUGUUGUUAGAGAAGAACAGCGCAUAGAGUAACUGUUAUGCGUGUGACGGUAUCUAACCAGAAAGCCACGGCUAACUACGUGCCAGCAGCCGCGGUAAUACGUAGGUGGCAAGCGUUGUCCGGAUUUAUUGGGCGUAAAGCGAGCGCAGGCGGUCAAUUAAGUCUGAUGUGAAAGCCCCCGGCUCAACCGGGGAGGGUCAUUAGAAACUGGUUAACUUGAGUGCAGAAGAGGAGAGUGGAAUUCCAUGUGUAGCGGUGAAAUGCGUAGAUAUAUGGAGGAACACCAGUGGCGAAGGCGACUCUCUGGUCUGUAACUGACGCUGAGGCUCGAAAGCGUGGGUAGCAAACAGG